UUGAAUGUCAAAUGUGAUGUAAUAGAUAGUUAUAUCUCUCUUUUAUUCACUUGUUCAUACUUGUGAUGCUUGCUCUUGUAAUGUUCGGCACUGGUUGUGCCCUCGCUAUUGUUUUGAUCAUGUAUGUAUUCAAGUUGAUUUCCUGGGAACUUGUUGUACAUGAUCCGGUUGUUUAGCCUUGGGCGGACAGGGGAGGUGCUGUCCGUCCGGCGUCUGUUCGACGCGCCCGGAUCGGACCAAAUUGGUAGCGGUCUCGGGGCGUGACAG
rnacentral:lncRNA from 1 species